AUUGAACGCUGGCGGCAGGCCUAACACAUGCAAGUCGAACGAGUGGCGGACGGGUGAGUAAUGUGUGGGAAACUGCCUGAAGGAGGGGGAUAACUACUGGAAACGGUAGCUAAUACCGCAUACCAUCAGAUGUGCCCAGAUGGGAUUAGCUGGUUGGUGGGGUAACGGCUCACCAAGGCGACGAUCCCUCGCUGGUCUGAGAGGAUGACCAGCCACACUGGAACGGUGACACCUUCCAUACUCCUCCGGGAGGCAGCAGUGGGUAAUCUUGCACAAUGGGCGCAAGCCUGACUCAGCCAUGCCGCGUGUAUGAAGAAGGCCUUCGGGUUGUAAAGUACUUUCAGCCGAGAGGCGUUUGCCUCAUAAGAAGCACCGGCUAACUCCGUGCCAGCAGCCGCGGUAAUUC
rnacentral:rRNA from 1 species